rnacentral:tRNA from 4 species
GGGGGUGUAGCUCAGUUGGGAGAGCGCCUGCCUUGCAAGCAGGAGGUCAUCGGUUCGAACCCGUUCACCUCCACCA